UGACCGACAGUACCUGUCGCCAGACCCACGCGCCUCCACAAAAUGGGCUCGCAACCUCGCUGGCCCACUCGCUGGACAUUGUCCCAAAAGAAGAUGAACAUCUCUGUUCCUCUUCCUCCGCCACCACGACCGUUCGUCGUCGUCGUCCCCACGAGGCCACCAAUGUGGAGCGAUGGCUUAAUAGUCAUAAAAACGCACUAAUCCCAACAUUCAAAGAGUGGAAAAUGCUCAUUGGAACUCAUCUGUCGUUGCCGUCCCUCCAGGUUAAAAAUCAGGCCAUGUUGCCAUCCGCAUCCGCAUCAAUCAAACGACCUCCAGGGUUGCAUCUGGCCGCUCCCCGUUCUAAUUCCUCCUUUAAUUUUCCAAUCCCUCAACCCUCCAUAUAUAUUCCCAAUUUCGAGGUUGAGCUCCCGCUGGAAAUAUGCUCACAGUUCUACCCGUACUCCGGAUUCAAUUGGAUUAUGUCUCCUCUCCUGAUUUCUUUGGAUUUCUUCGCAUUGUUGUCUGCUCGCGGGAGAUUUCUUUGAGUCAUUGACUUCCCGGUCUGUUGGCCAUCAUCACGUCAACUGACUGCUGAUACUGCAGAGCGCCUACUCAUUUCCAAGUCCCAAUCUUAGAUUCGUGCUGGAGUGUCAAUGGAUUGUUUUGCUGCCUAAGCAAGUAUUGCAGGUCAAGUCAUGUGCUCUGGUUUUGUCGCUACAAGGCAUAUCUGAUCGUGGUGUCACUCACAGAGCAGCAACAGCCGAUCUUACACAGGCCUCGAGUUUCUUCUACACAAUUUAUCUGAGUUAAAUUUGUUGGUUUCUCUUCUAACAUUUUAAUCUUUCUCGCAGGAUGCAAACUUCUUAUAGAUAAAUUCGUCCCGUUUGGACCUGUACCGUGCAACCUAUCUUUGGAAGUCUUGGGAAUUGAGAUAUGAAGCGUUGAUUUAUCCAUGCAUUUAAUUUGAAUAGUGUUAUGUCAUUUAGAAGUAACAGAAGAAACCGUCCUGGUAAAUAAGAUAUGGGAAGUGAGAUUCGUAAAAAAGACAGUGGUAAUCAGGAGUUGCUCAAUAAUGACUGUAGUACUUCCAAUUGUUGUUUAUCUGAUCCCUACUGUGAUUUGUUUUCAUUGUCAGCCUUGCAGGUGCCUCGAUGGGUCCAUAGUGCAGGCAACAACUAAACGUGUGUUUGUAUUCCAUCGAAUAUCAAUGGUUCACGCACGAGCAAUCUCUCUUUCUUCCAGCAGCAUAGGGCUAUUGUUGUGGUAAAUUGGAUUGAUCAUUUUAUUAUUACCUGAUACUUAGUGUUGUGUCUCUUAAAUUAUAUAUCAUGUUAACUUUAUUUCUUAUUCAAGUCAAGAUGACUAUGAAGUUCUUGAGGAUUCCUAUUGGCAUGCUUCUGCCAACUCUGUGCAAUAUUGUUCAUGCCAUCCCUGGAAACGGUCCAUCCCUGGAUACUUCUUCCGUAUCUUGAUAUUUGUUUGGCUUCACAAAACACAUGCGCAACCCAAUCCGAGUAUCAACUCGAUUGAGUUAAUAAACGGUAUCACACAUGUAUACUGGACGUGGCGCAUUGGGGUCAAAAACUCAUGUCAGAGGUUAUUUCUUCCCAUGUUUCUGAACAUCUGAUUUUGCUAUCAUUCAUAUACAAAGCAACUAGGUAUGUAGCUGUAAAAACAGUAACUAGAUAUGCCAGGUCCCGUCUUUUAGGUCUCCAACAAGUUAUGUAAUCUCCCUGCAAAAAAAAACAAGUUAUGCAAUCUUAUGCAAGGCAGAUUUCACGGAUUAACUGGCUCAUAAAUGUAUUUUUCAUAUAGACUUUUUCUACUAAUUAAACCUACGAUGAUGUGAUUUUAGGAAGGAAAGUGCAGAAAUGUGGUGUACAACCAUCUGAUUUUAGAGAUAAGGGCGUCAGAUUCUGCAUGUUUUGGGCUCAUGAGAUGUAAACAAUUGACAUCGCUAGCUACUCCAGUUUGUAUAAUUGUUCUCAUAGUUCCGAAAUCUGGCAUGCAUUCAGAUGCGUGUUAUAUUCUUUAUCUUGAGAGCUACCUUUCAUUUCCCAUUUCUGUGUCCUAAUUUGGUUCAGACAUGCAUUUUGCAUGAUUUAGGAUGCUUUAUUGUCUCUCUUUUUUAUGUAUCUCAGAACAUGCUUCUUUGAUCUGUAAAAUAUCUCAAGUGAAUUUGGCACUCUUAAUUUGAAUGUACAUAUGUGCAAAACAGAUUAGAAAGGAGCUCAUCCUUAGUAAAAGAAAAAAUAUUCACUUACUGUGAGUCAUUCGUAAUCAACUUCAAAGAAUCUUUGUUCUUGCCUGAAAUCAGUGAAAUCCUGUUCAAAGCAAUCAAAUGUACAGGUGCUGGUGACAUGUGACUUGAUCAGAUGCAGUUAGAGGCAGUUUCAUGUGACUGGUCUACAAUGUACCACUCAAUAUUUGAGCUUAUCAUGUUCUUUUUCUUUAGUCCCAUUAAAUUAUUUCUCAAUUUCCCGCUGCAACGCGCAGGGUAUCAUCUAGUUAACUCUGUUAAGCAACUCAUAUAUCGAUACUUUUGACAGCCGCUCAUAACCUGCCUCAUUCCUCUCGGUUGAAAAUAAUAAUAAUGCAAAACCUUCGGAUAGAAACAACAUGCUUGCUGCAUUCGUCCUCACUCCUCUAGGUUUACUGUACAGCAUCCUGGGUUAAGCCAGGUUAGCUAGUGGAAGCUGGUUUCGAAUGUUUGUUCACAGUACCUAGUGAGCAGCUCAACAUCAGGCUGACCAUACAGAAUGCUACAAAUAUAUCAGGAGGUCUACUCAAGAGGGAAACAUGUUUCAUCAUCUGAUUCCUAUGUGGUAUA